AUUGAACGCUGGCGGCAGGCCUAACACAUGCAAGUCGAGCGAGCGGCGGACGGGUGAGUAAUGUCUGGGAAACUGCCUGAUGGAGGGGGAUAACUACUGGAAACGGUAGCUAAUACCGCAUACCAUCAGAUGUGCCCAGAUGGGAUGAGCUAUAAGGUGGGGUAAUGGUUCACCUAGGCGACGAUCCCUAGCUGGUCUGAGAGGAUGACCAGUCACACUGGAGCUUAGACACGAUCCAGACUCCUACGGGAGUCAGCAGUGGGGAAUAUUGCACAAUGGGCGCAAGCCUGAUGCAGCCAUGCCGCGUGUGUGAAGAAGGCCUUCGGUUUGUAAAGCACUUUCAGCGAGGAGGCGUUACUCGCAGAAGAAGCACCGGCUAACUCCGUGCCAGCAGCCGCGGUAAUAC
rnacentral:rRNA from 1 species